rnacentral:lncRNA from 1 species
UUUGACAAACACUUAAAGACGAUACCCAUAGAGUCAUUAGCAGACAUCACUGCACACAAAACUCAUCAGGUGUAGCACUUAAAAGUAUCAUAUUGUCAAAAUAUUAAGCAACAUUUGAAUAUCAUAUUGUCAUAAUAUUAAGCAACAUUUGAAUAUUAGUAAGCAAAGUAAAUAUGUGGGAAUGAUACUCACUAAUCACUGGAACAUUCUUGCGAGUUUUAUGAUUCAUAAUCUUU